rnacentral:misc_RNA from 1 species
GUCUUGUUCUCAGAUUGAGAAACCUCCGGCUGUUCAAAUUGCUUACCCUGAUUGUCUGAUGGCUUGUUAUCCAAACUAGAUUGCAGACAUUCCUUUAUCUGCAAGGAAGACUCCUUUGGAUCAAUCGACAACUCAUGUCCUAAUGCUUCUACUGGAGCCACCUGAGAGGAACACUGGUCUUGGGCUUGCAUUUGCAUUUGCAUUUGCA